rnacentral:rRNA from 1 species
AUAGAGGAUACCUUAGGCCUUCCUUAGGUAAUAUCUAAAGGGAAAAUAGUAAAAAGUAUAAUAUUAGUCUAUUCCUACGUACCUUUAGACCUAUAGAGUUAUGAGAGCGGCCGCGGGCCGCUAGUAGAGGGGGUCCGCCCCCCGAGCGAUACUAUCAAAUUGCGGGGACCUCCAGAUACCUACGCUACCAACCCGGGACCCAAAAGGGCGCCGGGGGCCGGGACCUAAUAGUUCCCGGGUACGGUAAUAGCGCGUAGGCCCUAGACGAUCCGUAGCUAAACCCGCCGCCCCCCUAGGGGCGCGGGUACAGUUCAACGACCAAAUAGUAGUAGGGUCCCCCCGGGGGCCCUAAGAUAUAGUCUACCGGAGAGCCUAACGGCCUCCGCUCGGAGAGAGCUCUUAAGGUAGCUAAAUACCUCGUUAUCUAAUUAGUAACGCGUAUGAAUAGAUUAACGAGAUUCCUACUGUCCCUAUCUACUAUCUAGCGAAACCACAGCCAAGGGAAUAGGCUUAGUAGAAUUAGUAGGGAAAGAAGACCCUAUUAAGCUUAACUCUAGUUUAAUAUUAUAAAAAGAUAUAGGGGGUAUAGAAUAGGUAGGAGCUUCGGCGCCGGUAAAAUACUACUACCCUUAUUAUUUUUUUACUUAUUUAAUUAAGUAGAACUAGACCUUACUAUCUAAUUUCUUAUAUUAAGGUCCUUCGCGGACCGAUCCGGGUUGAAGAUAUUAUUAGGUAGGGAGUUUAGCUAGAGCGGUAUAUCUAUUAAACUAUAACGCAGGUAUCCCAAGGGGGACUUAUAGAGAAUAGAAAUCUCUAGUAGAGUAAAAGGGCAAAAGUCCCCUUGAUUUUAAUUUUUAGUAUAAAUAUAAACUAUAAAAGUAUAGCCUAUCGAUCCUUUAGUCCCUCGGAAUUUGAGGCUAGAGGUACUAGAAAAGUUACUAUAGGGAUAACUAGCUUAUAGUAGCUAAGCGUUUAUAGCGAUAUUACUUUUUAAUCCUUUAAUAUUAGCUCUUCCUAUUAUAUCGAAGUAGAAUUCGGUAAGCGUUAGAUUAUUUACCUACUAAUAGGGAAUAUAAGCUAGGUUUAGACCGUUAUAAGAUAGGUUAGUUUUACCCUACUAAUAACCGUCGCCCUAAUAGUAAUUCCGCCUAGUACGAGAGGAACUACAGAUUUAGAUAAUUAGUUUUUACGACUAUCCGACUAGGUAGUACCGCGAAGCUACUAUCUACUAGAUUAUAGCUAAACGCCUUUAAGUUAGAAUCCAUACUAGAACGGGGUAAUUUACCCCUAUAUACUUUACUUAUAUACGAAUAGGCUUCGGCCCCGGACCUUAGU